rnacentral:rRNA from 1 species
UGGGGAAUAUUAGGCAAUGGGGGAAACCCUGACCUAGCCAUGCCGCGUGCGUGAAGAAGGUCUUAGGAUUGUAAAGCGCUUUCAGCGGGGAAGAUGAUGACGGUACCCGCAGAAGAAGCCCCGGCUAACUCCGUGCCAGCAGCCGCGGUAAUACGGAGGGGGCUAGCGUUGUUCGGAAUUACUGGGCGUAAAGGGCGUGUAGGCGGCCAAUUAAGUCAGAGGUGAAAUCCCCGAGCUCAACUUGGGAACUGCCUUUGAUACUGAUUGGCUAGAGUUCGGGAGAGGGUAGUGGAAUUCCCAGUGUAGAGGUGAAAUUCGUAGAUAUUGGGAAGAACACCAGUGGCGAAGGCGGCUACCUGGACCGAUACUGACGCUGAGGCGCGAAAGCGUGGGGAGCAAACAGGAUUAGAUACCCUGGUAGUCCACGCCGUAAACGAUGUCUGCUAGUCGUUGGGGAGCAUAGCUCUUCGGUGACGCAGCUAACGCAUUAAGCAGACCGCCUGGGGAGUACGGCCGCAAGGUU